CAGCACCUCAAGUGGUCAGGAUGAUUAUUGGGCCUAAAGCAUCCGUAGCCGGCGCUGUAAGUUUUCGGUUAAAUCUGUACGCUCAACGUACAGGCUGCCGGGAAUACUGCAGCGCUAGGGAGUGGGAGAGGUAGACGGUACUCGGUAGGAAGGUGUAAAAUCCUUUGAUCUAUUGAUGACCACCUGUGGCGAAGGCGGUCUACCAGAACACGUCCGACGGUGAGGGAUGAAAGCUGGGGGAGCAAAACGGAUUAGAUACCCGAGUAGUCC
rnacentral:rRNA from 1 species